GUUUCUAACUUCACAAACAUCCGAUAAAGUUAAAAUGAUACAUAGAAAAUUAGCGUGGUCUCUGUGUAUGAAUUACACAUACAAAUCAAGAAAUUGACGUAAACUUU